UGGCGAGUGGCGAACGGGUGAGUAAUACAUCGGAACGUGUCCUGGAGUGGGGGAUAGCCCGGCGAAAGCCGGAUUAAUACCGCAUACGCUCUGUGGAGGAAAGCGGGGGAUCUUCGGACCUCGCGCUCAAGGGGCGGCCGAUGGCAGAUUAGCUAGUUGGUGGGGUAAAGGCCUACCAAGGCGACGAUCUGUAGCUGGUCUGAGAGGACGACCAGCCACACUGGGACUGAGACACGGCCCAG
rnacentral:rRNA from 1 species